UUCAUCUGUCACCGAUGGCUCGCCACGUCGAGGGCCGUUCUUUUUGGAUUCGGAAGAGAUCGUAGCAAGGCGUGGUUGUUUCCUUUUCCCAACGGCCUGGUGCCGUCUGAGUCUACCUAUAUCGCGGUUUAAGCCGCCUAAUCCUCGUUGGAUGUGAAUCGUCCUGUGCAGUUGAAGCCCCGGGUGCAUUGAAAUUAUGCAAGUCCUUUCCUACGCCCGCUUAUUGUCUGCCCCGGGGUUUCAAGAUUUACCGUCUUUAUUACAAGUGUACGGUGUGGCCUCAAGAUGCCAGCUUCUGCAAACCGAGCUACCAGUGGCAGGGAGCUGUGUUUGGCGUUUCCCUACUUCCACGUCGAGGUUCCUGGUCAACGUGGCGGUUGUAUUGUUUACGGUCUCUCGAAGUUUUGGAGGUUAGAUCGACCCUUUAUUUAAUAUUAAUUACUGAACCAGAGAUGCUGGUUCUGGCGCCCUCGUACCCCUCACUACCGUUUAAAUUUGUCUGUCAGUAGGCCGCUUCUACCAAAACAUUUUUAAAUAAGAGUUCGCUAUACCCAUAACUGUUCCCUCAACACUUAAAUAAGAGUCUGGUGCUCGUGUUAUUUAGAUAAGAGCUAGUUUACCUUAAGUUCCUGUUGUUAAGGCCCUUAAGGCUCUCCGGGUUAAUUUCAAAAUAAUUUGAAUAAAUGUUUUAACCAUAUUGCCUUGUUUUGUUAAUUAAUUAAGGAAAUAUUCCAUAUUAGUAACCCUAGAAUAAUAGUUGUUACAGUGGCGCCCAACGUGGGGCAAUAUUAGCGAACCUCUUUGGUCACAGUGUGUUAGCUAAAGGG